rnacentral:rRNA from 1 species
UACGUAGGGACCAAGCGUUGUUCGGAUUUACUGGGCGUAAAGGGCGCGUAGGCGGCGUGGUAAGUCACUUGUGAAAUCUCUGAGCUUAACUAAGAACGGCCAAGUGAUACUGCAGUGCUAGAGUGUGGAAGGGGCAAUCGGAAUUCUUGGUGUAGCGGUGAAAUGCGUAGAUAUCAAGAGGAACACCUGAGGUGAAGACGGGUUGCUGGGCCAACACUGACGCUGAUGCGCGAAAGCCAGGGGAGGCAAACGGG